CACAAAGAUAAGCAGAAGAAUGACAUGUAACCAGAAUAGAUUUUGAGUGGCCUCAAGGCUUUGCUUGUUAAUUACUGUCAUGAACUGAAUGUGUUCUUCCAAAAUUCAUAUGUUAAAUCCCUAAAGAGGUAACUACAGUUAAAUGAGGUCGUAAGCAUGGGGCUCUAUUCCAAUAGGACUAAUGUCCUUAUAAGCAGAAGAGAUAACAGUGCUCACUCUCUCUUUCCUUCUCUCUCUCUCUCCUCCUCUUUUUGUGUGCAGAAAAAAAAGGCUGUAUGAAGACCCAGAAACCUUCGGACCUGAGAGAAAAUUAAUUUAUGUUGUUAAAGUCACCUAGUCUGUGGUGUUCUAUUGUAGCAGUUUAAGCUGACUAAUAGACUUACAAAGAUCUUUGUGGUAGCAAAAUCUCAGUUCAGUGAGCAAACUCUGUGUGAUCAGCUGUAUUUUCUCAGGCAAAAUGAUUCAGUGUGACUUGUCUCCUCUUCCUGCCUCAUUUCCUAGUCUGGAAUCAGACAGACACUGCCAAGAUCUCUUUACUUAAUUGGCUCAGAACUGAAACACAGAGUAUCUAGGGGAGUUAAGAGGAAAGCCUGGGGGAUGUAAAGAAAGAGUCACUUUCUGCCCCUGUGUCUCUGCUCAUGAAGGAGGAGGGGUCAACUUUUCAGGUGGUUGGGAAGAUGCCCAGGAAGGACAUAACUGGAAUCUGAAAUUUCUUAAAAAUGGCCAUAUCCUUGAAUGUUGAAAACCUCAGAGAGAGACCCAGAAGAUAUUUCAGGUCUAUGAACACCCUAUAUUUGUCACUGAUAUUAGACAACCUACCCUAGCAUAGUUUCCUAGCCAACCGGAAGAGAUAAUAUGGAACCCACAGGAAUAUUUUUUUAUAAAAUAGACAAGCAGAUUGACUCAGACCUCUUUCCUCUGGGCCCCUCUCUAGUUUCCAAGAUAGAAUUCUAAGGUGGAUGGAAUGGUGGAUACCUCCAAGUAGGAGACCCCUAGACCCUUCUUACUAUGCUAGCCACAUGAGAGAAGACAAAGAGUAUGAUUCUACAAAACUAAACGUUAAAAAGAAGAAUCAGAUGGAUUACUCUUCAUGACCACAGAAGACUUUUUACCUUUUCACAGAUCACAUGAAUCCAUUCACAGGACUUGAAUCCUGGAUCUGAGUUUGCAAAAGAAAUGAAGCUAAUGAAAGACAAGGAACUUCUGGUCUUAGUUGAGAUGCAAAAAGAAUUUCAAGGAGAAGUCAAGGAACAAAAAACAAUGGCCAAAAUCAUGAACUCCAUGAAUUUCAUCCACCAUAUAAUAAGGUAGAUGAUAUUCAUUUCCCACCAGGUGAAAGCUCUCAAGUCUGGAAGUCCUAAAUCAAGCUGAGGGCUGAGCCACGCUUCUUCCAAAGCUUCCAGGAGAGGACCCUUCUUUGCCUCUUCCAGCUUCUGGAAAACAUUUCCAUCUGGCUUUCCUCUGUCUGACUUAAACAAUGAUUUUCCAUCCUACCUGAACAUUAUAAUCAUCUGGAAGAGUUUUUUAAAAUACAGAUGCUAUUGCUACACCCAUGGAGCUUGUGUCUUACCAUCUGAUAUGGUUUGGCUGUGUCCGCACUCAACUCUCAUCAUGAAUUGUAGUUCCCGUAAUCCCCAUGUGUCAUGGGAGAGGCCUAGUGGAAGAUAAUCCUGUUUCUAAUUUCAAGAAACCAAUUUCUUCAUUAAGGAAUUUCCAUGGCAAAAUAACAAUUGUUCUUCAAAAACACCUGCAUCACUUAUUGUAAGUGUAACUAGCAUACUCAUAAUGUGUCACACAAAAACACCAAAACAUUUUAAUUUAAAAAAUAGUCAAAAAGUUCACUUCAAUCUCCUUGCUAGCAGGUAUUAUUUUCACAAAACAUUGUAAUCGUGUAAGCUUUCAGGUUUGAAUGUCAAGGUUUAGGGCCAAUCUUUGAAAUCUCAUACCCAUAAAUUUUGAGAUAUAUACAAAAAAUUUCCUCCAGUCUAACAUGAGAUAUCAGUGGCCUUGAUAGCAUGUCUUGCCUUGGUCUUAUCAGCAACUGGAAGUUGAAUGUGUUGCAACUUUGAAGAAUUUCCAUGAGGCCAUGGAAAACAAUGUUAAUUAUAUUUAUAACGAUCUCUUCUUGACUCUAUACUAAUCAGUUCUUACUCUCUGAGUCAGUGAGUUGUACUUGCCAAUGUUAUUCUUGUCCUUGC
rnacentral:lncRNA from 10 species